rnacentral:rRNA from 1 species
UACGGGGGGGGCAAGCGUUGUUCGGAAUUACUGGGCGUAAAGGGCGCGUAGGCGGUUCGCUAAGUUGGAUGUGAAAACUCUGGGCUCAACCCAGAGCCUGCAUCCAAAACUGGCGGGCUAGAGUUCUGGAGGGGGUAGCGGAAUUCCUGGUGUAGCGGUGAAAUGCGUAGAUAUCAGGAGGAACACCGGUGGCGAAGGCGGCUACCUGGACAGAAACUGACGCUGAGGCGCGAAAGCGUGGGGAGCAAACAGG